CUGAAAAUAGAAUGAUUUGUGAAGUUGAACGUUUUCUCACCAAAGAAUACGUAUGUAGACAUGCACACUCAUUUAAUCUGCAGCUACGAAGUACUUUGUCACUCCUCUGGAACAUUAUUCUAAGCAGAAUUAUUCAGAUUCAUAUAUUCUAAGAAACUUGUGUGAAUUGUUUACGAGGAAAUUCCAACUGUCACAUUAACAAGGAUGAGCACUCUUGACUCUGCUUGGGAUUUCCUAGUGAUAAUUGCAUCGAGUGAUGAAAGAGCUGACGGCGACAUUUUAAUGUAUGAUUGGCUUGGACCAUUGGAAUGAAGUCAUUUCAUGGUGCCACCACUUGGGAUGGUAUUAGCUGCAAAUAUAGACUUGUACUUAGCACUUGUUGCCUUUAAGAAGUAUGAGAUCCAUUUUGUGCUAACACCUACCAUGACACAGAAUCUUGGUUUAUUCAGUCUCAUAGGAGUAACCUGUCUAAAGCAUUUAGCAAUGGGAUUGGAGCCUGAGACGUGUGACUCAUCUGAAUACUGAAUUUUGAUACCAAGCAUGACCGUGAUUUGCCAGAAGAUCAUCUGUUUGGAUGUGACAUGGAAUAAACAGCAUAGUGAAAAUAAGUCAAGUUUUGGUUUGUGACGACAACUUUUAAACACACUGUGUAUCAUUUUUAAAUUUUGAUUUCACAACAUAAAUCCACAAAUAUGAGCAUAUCAAUUGCUCUCGGUUUUUCAAGUGAAAUAGUUUUUGUAACAGAAAUACAUGUACCAGUAAUUACAUUGGACAAAAUGUUAUUUUUAAAUAUAAUAAUAUUUUGUUUGUGUUGCAUGUUGACCUCUUUAUUAAGGUCUUCCCUUUCAAAGUUUAGACUUACUUAUUCUAAUGAUUUAGAUAGAUCCUCUGUCUUCAGCAGGAAUAUAAGAUCUUGUAAUACAUG